rnacentral:lncRNA from 1 species
UUAAGAUUCAAGAGCAGUUUGCUGCAGGAGGUGCUCCCACACAUUAGUUUCCAAGUGAAACAGCUAUAAAGGAAGUAGGAUGGAUACUGAAGGUAUGGUGACUGAUUUGUGCGACCUAAGAAUGAAGGUUGCCGCUGGUGCCACAUUAAAGAGAACAAUUCCCGAGGAAAAAAAGAAGUUGGGAGAACCUCGUUAACAAGGCAGCACUCCUCUUCUACCAUCCCUCUCCAGGAAUCGCAGGAUUGUUGUUCUGAGAAUGAGCGUGCACAGUAGUGCACUGUUAACAGUGUUUUGCACGUAGCAGGUGCUUAAUAAAUGUUUGACGAAUGAACAGAGGCGCUAAACCAGUCAAUGUACCCAAAAAACCAUCCCAUUGAUUUCUGAGGUCUCUUUAUGUAACUUGAUUCCUGCCUCAGCAGCAGCAUUGUCCUUACUCUUGAGAAAGAGAGGGGCAAUGUUGAUGAUGGUCUGUGCUAGACAUGACCUCUAAACCUGCCUUUUUGAACUUAUUCUUGCCAAGAACUUAUACAUGGGAGUGUUGAUACUGGCCUCUUCCCCUUCCAGGACUACUGUUAACCAGUUAGGCUGCUCAAGUUUCAGUCAAGUACCAUCAGUUAUAAUCUGUGUUCUUAUCCAAGUUACUGAAACUCUGGGCCUGCAUAAAAUGGGGAUAAUAGUACUUAACUU